rnacentral:rRNA from 1 species
CCUACGGGAGGCAGCAGUGGGGAAUCUUGCACAAUGGGGGAAACCCUGAUGCAGCGACGCCUCGUGAACGAUGAAGCCCUUCGGGGUGUAAAGUUCUUUCGACGGGAACGAUAAUGACGGUACCCGGAGAAGAAGCUGCGGCUAACUACGUGCCAGCAGCCGCGGUAAUACGUAGGCAGCGAGCGUUGUUCGGAAUUACUGGGCGUAAAGGGUGUGUAGGUGGUGGCGUAAGUUCUGUGUGAAAUCUCCCGGCUUAACCGGGAGGGUGCGCAGAAGACUGCGUCGCUAGAGUAUGGGAGAGGUAAGCGGAAUUUCUGGUGUAGCGGUGAAAUGCGUAGAUAUCAGAAGGAACACCUGUGGUGUAGACGGCUUACUGGACCAUUACUGACACUGAGACACGAAAGCGUGGGUAGCAAACAGGAUUAGAUACCCUGGUAGUCCACGCCCUAAACGAUGCAUACUUGGUGUGAGCCAUUCAUUUGGUUCGUGCCGGAGCUAACGCGUUAAGUAUGCCGCCUGGGGAGUACGGUCGCAAGGCUGAACUAGAAUGACGUGNGNGNGNGCGNGCGACGACGAGAGAGG